GAACAAGCGCAGGGCAUUUAUUUCACCAUGCACUAGGAUAUAUGACAGUAACACAUCCAAAUGUUCCACAGAAUCCAGCUCUUGGGAAAUGAUGCAGUGCCUCACUUGCUGCACCGAGACAGAAAAUAGGAAAAGAAAAGCAAACCAAGAUUUCCCUCAUUUUUUGAAGCAAAAUUCAGGUAUGACACUUACCCAUCUUCUUAUCACAGGUUAUCAAAGAGUUAAGACAACAAAAC
rnacentral:lncRNA from 1 species